rnacentral:lncRNA from 1 species
GUCGAGCUCGGUAGCGUGGGCUUAUAAUCCAUGUGGAGACAAUAGGAUGAUAGGACGUUGGGUCGAUCUCGUUGGGCCGGGUUUGUUGGGCUUAUUAUGGCCUGCCCGUUCCAGGUUAGGAGUUGAGGCAUGCGGCUUGAGCGAAGGCUUUAGUCACGUGUUUCUUAAAGUGGGGGAGACUGCGUGAGGUUGGUUUCACAGAGCAGCGUACACCUCCCGCUCUUGACGGUGGAAGGAUAACGGGCCUUCGCCUGCCGAGCCUUACUAUGACCCAAUAAGCUGAUUCCGAUUGGACCAAUUUUUUUUUUCAUUUUUUUCGUAUAAGCGAAUCAGUUUUACGUUUGCAGACAAGAAAAACACGUCUGAAUCACACAACUUGUUGUCGUCUGAAUCACGCAACUCUUUGAUUCACGGAGCAUAUGAAGUUUUACUAAAUUAAUUGAUAAAGAAAAUAGAAUGAUGCUCAUGUAUCAUGAAAGAGAGUUUAAAAUACAUUAAUACAAAUGUAGAAUGUGGUUAAAAAUUUAAAAAAAAAACACUAAAAAUUAUAGACUUCAGUAUAUUAUCUAUUUACUUAAAAACUGGGGAUUAACAUAUAGAUUUUGAGAAAAAAUAAAAAAAGAAGUCAAUAUUGUUUUAAUGCAUAGUUGUAUCAUGAACUAAUGUAUGAUGAUGGUGAGAGAGGUUUGGAACCUUUGUUUUCUCCGUUUCUCUAGAAUAGCGAUUUUAGUGUGGUUUGUCCACUGAUUUAGGGAGCAUAUGAAGUUUUACUAAAUUAAUUGAUAAAAAAUAGAUACCAUAAAAGAGAGCUUAGAAUACAUUAAUACAAAUUUAGAAUGUGGCUAGAAAUUUUAAAAUAACACUAAAGAUUAUAGGCUGCAAUAUAUAAAGUAUUUACCGAAAAACUGAAUAUUUUGUAGGAGUUAUCGGUUGGGGCUAUUUAUGGCAUGCCCAUUCCAAGUUGGGAGUUGAGGCAUGCAGCUUGAGCGAAGGCUUGGGUCACGUGUUUCUUAGAGUGGGGGAGACUGCGUGAGGCUGGUUUCACAGAGCAGCGUAAACCUCCCGCUCUUGACGGUGGAAGGAUAACGGGGG